rnacentral:rRNA from 1 species
CCAAUAGCGUAUAUUAAAGUUGUUGCAGUUAAAAAGCUCGUAGUUGAAUUUCGGGGUUAGUAGGUUGGUCAUGCCUCUGGUAUGUACUGGUCUCACUGAUUCCUCCUUCCUGAUGAACCUUAAUGCCAUUAAUUUGGUGUUUUGGGGAAUUUGGACUGUUACUUUGAAAAAAUUAGAGUGUUUAAAGCAAGCUAACGCUUGAAUACAUUAGCAUGGAAUAAUGAAAUAGGACGUUCGAUCCUAUUUUGUUGGUAUCUAGGAUUGACGUAAUGAUUAAUAGGGAUAGUUGGGGGCAUUAGUAUUCAAUUGUCAGAGGUGAAAUUCUUGGAUUUAUUGAAGACUAACUACUGCGAAAGCAUUUGCCAAGGAUGUUUUCAUUAAUCAAGAACGAAAGUUAGGGGAUCGAAGACGAUCAGAUACCGUCGUAGUCUUAACCAUAAACUAUGCCGACUAGGGAUCGGAUGAUGUUAAUUUUUUAAUGACUCAUUCGGCGCCUUACG